GUGCUUGCUUUGGCAGCACAUAUAGUAAACAUUGGAAUAAUGCAGAGAUUAGCAUGGCCUCUGCAAAGGAUGACAUGCAAAGUAGUGAAGAGUUUCAUACUAAA
rnacentral:snRNA from 1 species